rnacentral:lncRNA from 1 species
AAAUAUUUUUUCAUAUAUAACACAAAUAUUUUGACUAGUUAGUUCACAUGUCACUAUAGGUUCAAACACCUCAUGAGUUAUAGGGUGAUUAUGACUUUGAUAUCCAUUUGGGAAGGACGUACUGUUACACUAUCUCAAAUUAUCUUAUUAUUUUUGGUCCAUGUUGGUGCACUAGUAAAGUGGUUACAUGCUCAUUAUCAUGAUUGUUCAACAAAUUAAUAUUUUAUUAAAAUUAAAUUAAACCUAGAUGGAAUGGCACAAUCCACCUUCCC